rfam:Candidatus Acidianus copahuensis strain ALE1 ctg7180000000565, whole genome shotgun sequence.
GCGGGGAUGCCCGAGCUUGGCCAAAGGGGGCAGGUUCAGGCCCUGCUGGUGAAGACCUGCGUGGGUUCAAGUCCCACUCCCCGCA